ACAAGGGAAAGCACAGAAUAUGACACCAAAACCUUCUUAGUGAUUGUUAGUGUUGGUUUAUUAGUGACAAAUAUCGUGACAAUAGUGUAUGCAAUAUAUAAGACAGUGCAGAUGAGAAAAGCGAAACCAGGAGGAUCAGUUGAUGAAUGUCUUCACAUGGAUCCGUCAUCACACCCUACAAACAACUGUACUACUCCUCUUCCUCUUGCUAGUGAUCAAAACAAUAAACUGACAGCUAAAAGUUGAAAAACAGCAAUUUAAAGUGACUGAUUUGCUUUGAAGAAAACGUCAUGGAUUAUUGAAUUACAAAUCAAAUUGACGUGUUAUUCAUCUGUUUCGUGACUCCGUCUAGUGAACUUUCAUGCAAUGAGUGUGAUCAGUCAGCAUUUUGGCAGCAGUUUGUAAACAUUACCUGUCAAUGUCAUCUAUCAUAUCACAAUAUACAUAUAUUUAUGUUAGACUUAUUGUUAAACUUGCAUACACAUACAGUGUCAAACAAAAUAAUUAAUUUCAAGAAGAAUUCUUACCUUCCUGGUG